CUUCUCUCGUGAUGUCUUCCAGGCCCUCCUUGAUGUGACUGUGGAUCCUUCUUCGGGGAUUCGAGUCUCUCAAACUGAACUCCGACCUCGAGAUGAAGUCCCAAGACCUGGUUUAACUAAUUCAAGCUCGAGUGAAAUUCUACCGAGAAAUUUCGUGUCGCCUGGAUAAUCCUCGGAGUCGGAUGUAACAGGAAACAGCGGCACGUUUUUGGCCAAGGAGUGAAAUUCGAGAUUUUCGAUGCCGAUGUUCAACUGCUUGGCAGAUGUGUGGAUGUCUCUGUGCAACUGGAUCCUUUCCUGCUGGAGGUCUUGUAUCUUGAGACCCUGCAACGGUUCCCGGUAAAAGCUUGCUCCCCGCUGCUAUUGUGAUACAAAAUGGACUGCAUCUGUAACAAGGAAGAUACCAUCGAUAUUACGGAAGACCGAAUGGAACCAAGUUGAAGACUGCAGAACUCCUUAUCGGUCCAGCGAGGCAUGCUUCCUUCAGGAAAUUAUGCACAUUUGACGUACACUCGAGUGCCCAUAAUGCUGACCGACCCUGCAUUGUCUUACAUUCUACAUUAUCGUAACUGCCGAGUUAACCGAAAAGGUCACCGCAGCUCCUUCUGGACCGACGAUAUGGAAAAACGUCCCAGAUAAAAACUGUCCCUCACAUCGUGCCCCACAACUAUCGUAAGGAACAUUUAUUCCUAUCACGUAACGUUAAGCGGAGAAAUCAGUCUUCGUCUCAAUUGGUUUAAGAGAUGGAUGAGUACGCCCUCGCGGACGCUCGUACGUCCUGAAGUAAUUUACCGUUACCGCGUGAGGCAUAUAAAUCGCGACUCUCUCCGCAACGUCACGCAAUUCGGGAAAACGUCUCGAAUAAAAGUUGUUCCUUAUAUCAUGAGCUGAAACUUUUGUGGGAACUAUUUUUCUGUAUCAUGCGAGCCUGGCGAUAAAAGUGGGUCUUCACGUGGCGCCGCGAAGGGGGACGAGUCCUCUCGACGUACGUCCUAACGUAAUUCAACGGCGGUGCGUAAUGCAUGUAAAUUAAGAAUAAUUCAAUCGAGCCCGAGAAACCAGAAACUAUGUUAGUGCAUGCAUACAAACCGGACGCUAGGUCUUGACGAGUCUGCAGAGCGUACGCGCGCGCAUACGUUAUGGAUGUAUUCCACAUUUAGCUUAAGUGAGAUGGUACUAUCUACAGAUGAGGAUGUUGCCUGUUACGAAUAAGUGAAUCGUACCCUGCUAACCCAGUGGUCGGAUCGUUCAACUAUUCGUCUUGGCAUUGAGGUGAUUCUUCGGGGCUGAUUUCAAUUGGAUUCGAUGUGGCUAAACGAGCCUCGACCUCGCGCAAUUCGCCCAUCCGAUACUUCGAAUCGACCAUCAAAUGCCAAUUCUGAAUUUUUAUUCAGCCUCGUUAUGGAACAAUUGAGCUGCAGAAAAUGUUUCUAGAAAUGCUUAUAUACUAAACAAAUUAUUGCAAAUAAAUUAUCAUCCCUAAAUUA